AAAAAGGCUCCAGUGGUGCAAUCAGCCAGCGCACAGUACUUAUAAGACAGUAACAUGCAAAGUGAUGCUGAGGUUGUGAGUUCAAACCUCACCUGGAGCAGGUUUUUUUUC
ensembl:miRNA